rnacentral:rRNA from 1 species
CAGUAGCCGCGGUAAUACGAAGGGUGCAAGCGUUACUCGGAAUUACUGGGCGUAAAGCGUGCGUAGGCGGCUUUUUAAGUCGGAUGUGAAAUCCCUGAGCUUAACUUAGGAAUUGCAUUCGAUACUGGGAAGCUAGAGUAUGGGAGAGGAUGGUAGAAUUCCAGGUGUAGCGGUGAAAUGCGUAGAGAUCUGGAGGAAUACCGAUGGCGAAGGCAGCCAUCUGGCCUAAUACUGACGCUGAGGUACGAAAGCAUGGGGAGCAAACAGGAUUAGAUACCCCUGUAGUCCCUGUCUCUUAUAA